rnacentral:lncRNA from 10 species
CGGGAGGCCGCGCACACUGCCGCUGUUGUGUGGGUUUGUGUUGAAGGUAAAGGGCCGGGAGGCCGCGCACACUGCCGCUGUUGUCCGGGUUUGUGUUGAAGGUAAAGGGCCGGGAGGCCGCGCACACUGCCGCUGUUGUCCGGGUUUGUGUUGAAGAACUAGCUUUCUUACGAGAAGAGGCAGAGACCCUAGCAAUGCUCACACAGAAAGGAAAGGCCACCUGGGGACAGAGAAAGAAGGCACCUGUCUACAAGCUGAGAAGAGAGGCCUCAGGAGACACCAGCCCUGCCAGCACCUUGAUUUUGGAUUCCAGCCUUCAGAACGGUGAGAAAUACAUUUCUGCUGCUUAACCCACCUGUUGGUUUUUUUUUAUUAUGUCGACACUGGCAGACUACUGCACUGCGCCUUUGCCCAUGCUCUUCUCUUCAAAAAAGUGAUACAUCCCUUUUUAACUUGAGAACAUCCUGUACAUCCUCCAGUGCCCAGGUUCAACAUAGUUUCUGGGGCAAAGCCUUUCCUCACCUCCCCUCAGCCAUCCUUGGAAGGCUGGUAAUUCUGGUCACAGCACCAGUGUUUUGGUGAUGGUGGGGUAUUGACUUAGCUCAUGGGUAAUACCCAUGUUCCAUUCUAGGUGGUGAAUUCAUAAGAAAAGGUAUUGGGUCUCAUUUAGGCGUGGAAUGCUGGGAUAGGGAAAGAGAAACACAUAGGAGGAGAAUCUCAGGAUUUACACUUUGAGAGACAGAAUACUUUUGAAUGAUGACGUGGUCUGGGAUGCGGCCGUAAGAAGUAGGUUAACUGAAACAAAAGAAAGUUCUGAAUUUCCAACAGCAAAGCUUUCUGAAGCCAGUGUGGUGCAAUGAAGAAUGUAUUUUGGCCGGGUGCGGUGGCUCACACCUGGAAUCCCAGCACUUUGGGAG